AUUGAACGCUGGCGGCAGGCCUAACACAUGCAAGUCGAACGAGUGGCGGACGGGUGAGUAAUGUCUGGGAAACUGCCUGAUGGAGGGGGAUAACUACUGGAAACGGUAGCUAAUACCGCAUACCAUCGGAUGUGCCCAGAUGGGAUUAGCUGGUAGGUGGGGUAAAGGCUCACCUAGGCGGCGAUCCCUAGCUGGUCGGAGAGGAUGACGAGCCACACUGGAACGGAGACACGGUCCAGACUCCUACGGGAGGCAGCAGUGGGGAAUAUUGGACAAUGGGCGAAAGCCUGAUGCAGCCAUGCGGCGUGUAUGAAGAAGGCCUUCGGGUUGUAAAGUACUUUCAGCGGGGAGGCGUUACCCGCAGAAGAAGCACCGGCUAACUCCGUGCCAGCAGCCGCGGUAAUAC
rnacentral:rRNA from 1 species